rnacentral:lncRNA from 1 species
AUGUCCAUCCAGAAGCCUCAGCUCCUUCUUAGGCGCUCCCUGCCCACGCGCCCUCCCUUGGCUCGUGGCCGUCCGUCGCUGCCUGGGCUGGCUCCGAAACCCCGGGCAGUCCUGGGGCAGCUCCUUCCACUUUCCCGCUGGCGAGUCAGGCAGUCCCGCGGGUUCUCCCCGUGGAGGGCGUCUCCUUUGCUUUGUCCCCACUGUCCAGCCACAGGGGACCCUUCCACCAGCUCCCCCCGCCUCUCGUCUCCCCGAUUCCUCAUCAGUUCUCACCAGCACCAUGACCAUCGCCACUGCCAACGCCAGACACAAAUACGAACUUGCGGAGACUUCAGGUGCACAGCACGGCUCUCAAAAUCUCACAAAAUUUACUCCAAUCUACUUUUCAGGGUUCAACAAGGCUAUUCAGGCCUCCUGAUGUCUUCUCAACAAGGCUUUCUUCUGACUCUGUCUCGUUUUAUACGACGCAGCUCUUGGGAUAUAAAUCUUCCGGCCAGUCUGCCGAAACAUAACUGCUGUGCGAUGGAACAUCUACCCCAGUCUCCCAGCCCACAGCCAUCUCACAGGUGCACCUGUGAUCGCAGACCAAAUCAGAAAAAUGUUCAGCACAACUAGAAAAAAAAAAUACUAGACUUACUUGGUGGUUGAUUCAAUCCACCUAGCAGGCUGUCAUGUGGAU